GACGAACGCUGGCGGCGUGCCUAAUACAUGCAAGUAGAACGCUGAAGGAGGAGCUUGCUUCUCCGGAUGAGUUGCGAACGGGUGAGUAACGCGUAGGUAACCUGCCUGGUAGCGGGGGAUAACUAUUGGAAACGAUAGCUAAUACCGCAUAACAGUAGAUAUCGCAUGAUAUCUGCUUGAAAGGUGCAAUUGCAUCACUACCAGAUGGACCUGCGUUGUAUUAGCUAGUUGGUGAGGUAACGGCUCACCAAGGCGACGAUACAUAGCCGACCUGAGAGGGGGACGGCCACACUGGGACUGAGACACGGCCCAGACUCCUACGGGAGGCAGCAGUAGGGAAUCUUCGGCAAUGGACGGAAGUCUGACCGAGCAACGCCGCGUGAGUGAAGAAGGUUUUCGGAUCGUAAAGCUCUGUUGUAAGAGAAGAACGAGUGUGAGAGUGGAAAGUUCACACUGUGACGGUAUCUUACCAGAAAGGGACGGCUAACUACGUG
rnacentral:rRNA from 1 species